rnacentral:rRNA from 1 species
UAAUACCUGCAGCUCAAGUGGUGACCGCUAUUAUUGGGCCUAAAACGUUCGUAGCCGGUUUGGUAAAUGCCUGGGUAAAUCGUGUAGCUUAACUAUACGAAUUCCGGGUAGACUGCCAAACUUGAGACCGGGAGAAGCUAGAGGUACUCCUUGGGUAGAGGUGAAAUUCUGUAAUCCUAGGGGGACCACCAGUGGCGAAGGCGUCUAGCUAGAACGGGUUUGACGGUGAGGAACGAAGCCCUGGGGCGCAAACCGGAUUAGAUACCCGGGUAGUCCAGGGUGUAAACGCUGCUUGCUUGAUGUUAGUUGGGCUCCGAGCCUAAUUAGUGUCGGAGAGAAGUUGUUAAGCAAGCUGCCUGGGAAGUACGAUCGCAAGAUUG